rnacentral:rRNA from 1 species
AGUGAACGCUGGCGGCGUGCUUAACACAUGCAAGUCGAACGAGAACGGAUUAUAGCUUGCUAUAAUUGUCAGCUAAGUGGCGCACGGGUGAGUAAUGUAUAGGUAAUAUGCCUCUUACUAAGGGAUAACAAAUGGAAACGUUUGCUAAUACCUUAUACUCCUUAUUAACAUAAGUUAAUAAGGGAAAGAUUUAUUGGUAAGAGAUUAGCCUGUAUUGUAUCAGUUAGUUGGUGGGGUAAUGGCUUACCAAGACUAUGACACAUAACUGGUUUGGGAGGAUGAUCAGUCACACUGGAACUGUGACACGGUCCAGACUCCUACGGGAGGCAGCAGUGGGGAAUAUUGCACAAUGGACGAAAGUCUGAUGCAGCAACGCCGCGUGGAGGAUGACACAUUUCGGUGCGUAAACUCCUUUUAUAUGAGAAGAUAAUGACGGUAUUAUAUGAAUAAGCACCGGCUAACUCCGUGCCAGCCGCCGCAGUAAAAC